UGGGGAAUAUUGCACAAUGGGCGCAAGCCUGAUGCAGCCAUGCCGCGUGUAUGAAGAAGGCCUUCGGGUUGCAAAGUACUUUCAGCGGGGAGGAAGGCGAUAAGGUUAAUAACCUUGUCGAUUGACGUUACCCGCAGAAGAAGCACCGGCUAACUCCGUGCCAGCAGCCGCGGUAAUACGGAGGGUGCAAGCGUUAAUCGGAAUUACUGGGCGUAAAGCGCACGCAGGCGGUCUGUCAAGUCGGAUGUGAAAUCCCCGGGCUCAACCUGGGAACUGCAUUCGAAACUGGCAGGCUAGAGUCUUGUAGAGGGGGGUAGAAUUCCAGGUGUAGCGGUGAAAUGCGUAGAGAUCUGGAGGAAUACCGGUGGCGAAGGCGGCCCCCUGGACAAAGACUGACGCUCAGGUGCGAAAGCGUGGGGAGCAAACA
rnacentral:rRNA from 1 species